rnacentral:rRNA from 1 species
CCUACGGGGUGCAGCAGUGGGGGAUAUUGCACAAUGGGGGGAACCCUGAUGCAGCGACGCCGCGUGGGUGAAGGAGUGCUUCGGCAUGUAAAGCCCUAUCGGCAGGGAAGAAGCAAGACGGUGCCUGACUAGGAAGCCCCGGCUAACUACGUGCCAGCAGCCGCGGGAAUACGUAGGGGGCGAGAGUGAUCCGGAUGCACUGGGGGUAAAGGGAGCGUGGACGGCCAUGCAAGCCAGGGGUGGAAGCCCGGGGCCCAACGCCGGGACUGCGCUUGGAACUGUGCGGCUAGAGUGCGGGAGGGGCAGGCGGAAUUCCUGGUGUAGCGGUGAAAUGCGUAGAUAUCAGGAGGAACACCGGCGGCGAAGGCGGCCUGCUGGACCGCGACUGACGUUGAGGCUCGAAAGCGUGGGGAGCGAACAGGAUUAGAUACCCGAGUAGUC